rnacentral:rRNA from 1 species
CGCCUCACCGCGUGUACUGGUCCGGCCGGGCCUUUCCCUCUGUGGAACCCCAUGCCCUUCACUGGGUGUGGCGGGGAAACAGGACUUUUACUGUGAAAAAAUUAGAGUGCUCCAGGCAGGCCUAUGCUCGAAUACAUUAGCAUGGAAUAAUAGAAUAGGACGUGUGGUUCUAUUUUGUUGGUUUCUAGGACCGCCGUAAUGAUUAAUAGGGACAGUCGGGGGCAUCAGUAUUCAAUUGUCAGAGGUGAAAUUCUUGGAUUUAUUGAAGACUAACUACUGCGAAAGCAUUUGCCAAGGAUGUUUUCAUUAAUCAGGAACGAAAGUUAGGGGAUCGAAGACGAUCAGAUACCGUCGUAGUCUUAACCAUAAACUAUGCCGACUAGGGAUCGGACGAUGUUAUUUUUUGACUCGUUCGGCACCUUACGAGAAAUCAAAGUGCUUGGGCUCCAGGGGGAGUAUGGUCGCAAGGCUGAAACUUAAAGAAAUUGACGGAAGGGCACCACCAGGGGUAAACCUAACUGGUUUCUUCAGAGCCGCAGUUAACUCUGCUCCAGAAAGCCGCCCGAAAGGGUCAGUGGUGUUCCUUGGGCCUCUCCGGGCCCUGAAUUAAUGGCUAGUCCCCCAUCGCGGGGGGCGACAUCCUCAAAUUGCGGGAAACUCCUAAAGCCUCUCACUACUAAGCGUCCGCAGAAAUGCGUUCGUGGCCAGGGUAAUGACCUCGGGUACAGUAACAACGUGAAGGAUGGAACAAUGGACAAUCCGCAGCCAAGCCCCGCAACGUGCAGCCGCGCAGGGGAAGGUUCAGAGACUUGACGGGGGUGGGUGAGCCUUCCGAGAAGGCUUGUCUAAGAUAAAGUCCGUCCCUGCGCGAAAGCGUAGGGGUUUUCAUACUGCUUCGAUAGCGCAUCGUGGCCCCAGUAAAACGGGAGCCUGCGGCUUAAU